AUGAGUACUUAUAACUCUCAACUCAAUCUCGGACCAGGCUUCAUUCCCCCUGACCAACUUUUGCUACCUUCGAUUUCUCAAUCAUCUUCUGUUAGUAAGGUUUUGGCCCCUACCUCUCCCUCAAAUGCAGCAGGAAUGUUUGUUUCACGUGGGAAGGCAAGAAAGCAUCAACAGUGUCAAAACCUAUCACAAGUGAAAUUCUUUCUUUUCAUCUUAUUGUCUCAAGAUCAAGUAUUGAUUGAAGUUAGUAGGUGA